GAGCUGAACGUCCUUGUUGGCGUUGCCCGCCGGCCGCUCCGGCUCCGUGGGGAGUCUGCACAGUUCCCUCCGGGAAAUGACUGCCUCGCACAGAGGGCAGCGGGAUCCAAAGGCGAGGCCAUUCCCCUGGACCAGGCACCUGCGGGGGCUCUUCCCGGGCGCGGGCGCACCAGCACCCCCGGCCCAGUUCCCCUGCGGCGCGCACCCGUGAGAAGGAACGGACCCGCCCUGGGACCAAGCAGUGCUUGCACCUGACCGAGCUUUUAUUACCUAGAGCUUUCGCUUCCAAUUUCCAAAAAGUGUCCAAAGUUGACUUCCAUGGAGGACGACGGAACGGCAGCCUGUGUACUUCGUGUUUGCAGACAAUCCUAUGAUGAGACUACUUGCUAAGAUGAAAGACAGAGCAGUCCCAUUAUAUUUGGUCUUUGCGUAUCCCCCCAGAGGAAAGUGUGACCACUAGGGCCUCGUGGUUCUGGCUGUAGCGAAUGCCGGGAGUCAGGCUUCUCCCCACUUCUCCUAAUCCUGUGAGUCUCUCUCCCUCCAGGGCUCCCUGGCAUGAGUAAGCGCGAACACCCAGGAGUUAGUCAACCUCAGUCCCUUUCUCCACUCUACUCCCAUCAAACACAAAUGGAGAGAAAGCAGGCCUCCACGUUCUUUAUGGAGGGGCAGCCACUGGCCCUGCCUAAGGACUGUCAGCCUGUCUUUUGGGACGAGACAGGAGACAGAGACCCGCAAGUCUGACGAGAAGUUCAGCAAUAAGAUUGAAAAGUGCCAUUUCAUUCUCUUCAAGAACAGAAAGGUGCCCUCGGCUUUAGUUGAGCUCUACCACUCGUGACCCUGCCCAUUCCGUGAUUUAAAGAGCUGUGUGUCAGAUUUCCGGUAUCUGUACACCAAGCCUCUCAUUUUUAUAUAACUUAGCAUGCUCUGCAGGGGUUCUUCAUGCUUUUGGGGUGAGUGUGUAACUCUCCUCGUUUCUCCUGCUAAAUUCACGCUGAGGGCAUGAAUGCCUGUGUCACUAUGGUUCCUGUCCACACACAGAAGCCACGGCCAGUGUCAACAGCUAUGAGAGCUGUUCCCUGACAUUCCCAGUGGUUCCCCGGGAGACCAAGAGGAUGCUUGUCUGCACCCUGCCCUCCAUGUGUGCAAGCAGGAGCCGUGGUUCCUGUGGGAGCCUUCCCUGGCCCAUCAGAGCUGAGGCGGUGGGAGCGAAGGCUGUGCUCCAGUGGGGCUCCAGGCUCCGCUGGGACCCAGAGCCCCAGUGCCGGAGCAGAGCUGGGACUAGGGUGAGGGAGUGAGGGAGAUACAUUUUGGGAGCAAAAUUUAAGUGGGGGCCAAAAAACUCAGUAAUGCAAUACCUUAAAAACCAACAUGAAUGCACAGUUAGAAAUCCACGGUGAACACAAUAGCAGAAUUUUAAAUAAAGACUGGCUCAUAC